rnacentral:rRNA from 1 species
GACAGAGGGUGCAAACGUUGCUCGGAAUUAUUGGGCGUAAAGCGCACGUAGGUGGCUUGUUAUGUCGGAUGUGAAAGCCCUCGGCUCAACUGAGGAAGUGCAUCCGAAACUGGCAAGCUAGAGUAUGUAAGAGGGUCGCGGAAUUCCCGGUGUAGAGGUGAAAUUCGUAGAUAUCGGGAGGAACACCGGUGGCGAAGGCGGCAUCCUGGACCAACACUGACGCUGAGUGAGCGAAAGCCAGGGGAGCAAACGGG